UACGGAGGGUGCUAGCGUUAAUCGGAAUUACUGGGCGUAAAGAGCACGUAGGCUGUUAAUUAAGUCAGAUGUGAAAUCCCUGAGCUUAACUUAGGAACUGCAUUUGAAACUAAUUAACUUGAGUUUCGUAGAGGGGGGUAGAAUUCCAGGUGUAGCGGUGAAAUGCGUAGAUAUCUGGAGGAAUACCAGUGGCGAAGGCGGCCCCCUGGACGAAUACUGACGCUCAGGUGCGAAAGCAUGGGGAG
rnacentral:rRNA from 1 species